GUGCUUGCUUUGGCAGAACAUAUACUAAAAUUGGAAUGAAACAGAGAAGAUUAGCAUGGCCCCUGCACAAGGAUGACACACAAAUUUGUGAAGCAUUCCAUAUUUUU